GUGGGGAAUAUUGGACAAUGGGCGCAAGCCUGAUCCAGCAAUGCCGCGUGAGUGAUGAAGGCCUUAGGGUUGUAAAGCUCUUUUACCCGGGAAGAUAAUGACUGUACCGGGAGAAUAAGCCCCGGCUAACUCCGUGCCAGCAGCCGCGGUAAUACGGAGGGGGCUAGCGUUGUUCGGAAUUACUGGGCGUAAAGCGUACGUAGGCGGUUUUGUAAGUUAGCGGUGAAAGCCCGGAGCUCAACGCCGGAACUGCCUUUAAGACUGCAUCACUUGAACGUCGGAGAGGUGAGUGGAAUUCCGAGUGUAGAGGUGAAAUUCGUAGAUAUUCGGAAGAACACCAGUGGCGAAGGCGGCUCACUGGACGACUGUUGACGCUGAGGUACGAAAGCGUGGGGAGCAAACAGGAUUAGAAACCCCAGUAGUCC
rnacentral:rRNA from 1 species